CUUUUAUGGAGAGUUUGAUCCUGGCUCAGGACGAACGCUGGCGGCGUGCCUAAUACAUGCAAGUCGAGCGGACUAAUGGGAGCUUGCUCCCGUUAGUUAGCGGCGGACGGGUGAGUAACACGUGGGCAACCUACCUGUAAGACUGGGAUAACUUCGGGAAACCGGAGCUAAUACCGGAUGACAUAAAGGAACUCCUGUUCCUUUGUUGAAAGAUGGCUUCGGCUAUCACUUACAGAUGGGCCCGCGGCGCAUUAGCUAGUUGGUGAGGUAACGGCUCACCAAGGCGACGAUGCGUAGCCGACCUGAGAGGGUGAUC
rnacentral:rRNA from 1 species